AUUGAACGCUGGCGGCAGGCUUAACACAUGCAAGUCGAACGAUGAUUAUCUAGCUUGCUAGAUAUGAUUAGUGGCGGACGGGUGAGUAACAUUUAGGAAUCUGCCUAGUAGUGGGGGAUAGCUCGGGGAAACUCGAAUUAAUACCGCAUACGACCUACGGGUGAAAGGGGGCGCAAGCUCUUGCUAUUAGAUGAGCCUAAAUCAGAUUAGCUAGUUGGUGGGGUAAAGGCCCACCAAGGCGACGAUCUGUAACUGGUCUGAGAGGAUGAUCAGUCACACCGGAACUGAGACACGGUCCGGACUCCUACGGGAGGCAGCAGUGGGGAAUAUUGGACAAUGGGGGCAACCCUGAUCCAGCCAUGCCGCGUGUGUGAAGAAGGCCUUUUGGUUGUAAAGCACUUUAAGCAGGGAGGAGAGGCUAAUGGUUAAUACCCAUUAGAUUAGACGUUACCUGCAGAAUAAGCACCGGCUAACUCUGUGCCAGCAGCCGCGGUAAUACAGAGGGUGCGAGCGUUAAUCGGAAUUACUGGGCGUAAAGCGAGUGUAGGUGGCUCAUUAAGUCACAUGUGAAAUCCCCGGGCUUAACCUGGGAACUGCAUGUGAUACUGGUGGUGCUAGAAUAUGUGAGAGGGAAGUAGAAUUCCAGGUGUAGCGGUGAAAUGCGUAGAGAUCUGGAGGAAUACCGAUGGCGAAGGCAGCUUCCUGGCAUAAUAUUGACACUGAGAUUCGAAAGCGUGGGUAGCAAACAGGAUUAGAUACCCUGGUAGUCCACGCCGUAAACGAUGUCUACUAGCCGUUGGGGUCCUUGAGACUUUAGUGGCGCAGUUAACGCGAUAAGUAGACCGCCUGGGGAGUACGGCCGCAAGGUUAAAACUCAAAUGAAUUGACGGGGGCCCGCACAAGCGGUGGAGCAUGUGGUUUAAUUCGAUGCAACGCGAAGAACCUUACCUGGUCUUGACAUAGUGAGAAUCCUGCAGAGAUGCGGGAGUGCCUUCGGGAAUUCACAUACAGGUGCUGCAUGGCUGCCGUCAGCUCGUGUCGUGAGAUGUUGGGUUAAGUCCCGCAACGAGCGCAACCCUUUUCCUUAUUUGCCAGCGGGUUAAGCCGGGAACUUUAAGGAUACUGCCAGUGACAAACUGGAGGAAGGCGGGGACGACGUCAAGUCAUCAUGGCCCUUACGACCAGGGCUACACACGUGCUACAAUGGUAGGUACAGAGGGUUGCUACACAGCGAUGUGAUGCUAAUCUCAAAAAGCCUAUCGUAGUCCGGAUUGGAGUCUGCAACUCGACUCCAUGAAGUCGGAAUCGCUAGUAAUCGCAGAUCAGAAUGCUGCGGUGAAUACGUUCCCGGGCCU
rnacentral:rRNA from 1 species